ACGUGUCAGCCAAAGAUGGCUGCGUUCAGGCUAGUUGAGCAAAGGUUGGCGUGAACCCCAGCGUGCCGAGGAGGGUUGUGAGCAGAGCAUAAGGUAAUGGCAUUCUGGGGAAAGGGUGCAGUAAAUGUUCGGGCACCAAGAGAGGUACAGCGCGGUGACGUGCCGCUCACCUGCAGCGCGGGAAUGAGAUCCACUGACUGGGUCGGAAGAGGGAGGAGGGGAGACGACGCCUACCUUCUCUUCACUUUACAUCCUAGAAGAAAAGACCUUAUAUUUAAAUUAAGCUAAUAGAAAAAAAAAAAAAAGUCUGCGUUUGAAUUUAAUCCUGGCUUUACUGCUAAUAGCCAGGGUGACCCUGGCCUAACUUAAUUUUCAGAGGCCCCACUUGGCCCUUUGCCUAUCUAAGAGCUAUCCUGAGGGAUGUGAGAUAGCUAAGGCAAAAGCUUUUAAAAAUGUUUGUAGGAUUUAAAGGUGACAUUGUUUUGGACUUGGAUUCAUUAUGUUUUUGUUUUUAUUUUAUUAAAAAUUUUUUUGAAAGUAAUCUUUACACCCAAAGUGGGGCUCAAACUCACGACCCCCGAAAUCAAGAGUCGCAUGCUCUUUGAACUGAGGACCCCCGAGAUCAAGAGUCGCAUGCUCUUCGGACUGAGCAGCCAGGCACCCCUGGAUGUAUUGUUAGUAACGCAGAUACAAAGGCCUACUGCAGGCUGCUAUGGCAGAACUUUUUUGAAUUAAGGAAGACUUUUAAUAGCCACAUGUUAGAAAAAGCUAGUUCACAGAACUCGGAACCUCGUCAAUAUGCAGAGCAUAAAAUAGAAAACUAGUCCAGCAGCAGGCUGGACUUUCUAAGGAAACAAUUUAUUUCAGAACUAUAUACAUCGUACACUUUCUCAGUACAUUUUUUAGAUUUUUUUUAAUAAUAUCUAUUUUAGAAGGAGAGACAGAGCGUGAGCGGGGGAGGGGCAGAGAGGGAGGGAGACAGAAUCUGAAACAGGCUCUGCGGUGUCAGCGCAGAGGGGUCUUGAACUCAGGAACAGCGAGAUCACGACUCGAGCUGAAGUCGGUGGCUUAACCGACUGAGCCAGCCAGGCGCCCCAAAUUUCUCUGUAUAUACUGAAUUUAUAUAUCUAUCCACACAACACACGUGCGCCUCCAGCACAUAAACAGAAUUAUUCAAAGUUCCUGUAGGUCAGAGAUGGUGUCUGUCAUGGUACUAUAACCAAGACCCUCAAAAAGUUUGUGUCCAGGAAACUAGAUGUAAAUUUCUAAGUCUAUAUUGUACUUAUUAAUUUUAAAUCUAGGGAUAUGAAAUUUCAUUUCACUCAACAUGUUCCAAAUGAGGUCUUAUAUCUAACAGGUACCCAGCAAGAAAUCGGUGUUGUAAAUUAAUCUCAUAGCAAAUGUAUAACAAGAAUCUAAUUUCAUAAAACUGUGUUGUAUUUUGCUGUUAUUUCUGAACUUUUGCUUUGAACUCUGCUACCUUGAAAUCUUGUUUAAUGAGCUAAAUCUUCAGGCUAAUACUCAUAGUUCACCAUCCCCCUACUCUACAUUACUAGCUGGCCCGUUAGAGAAAGUGUGCAGAUUUCUACUUUAGGGUAUACCUGAAAGUGAAAUUGAUUAUAUGUUUCUUCUACCUACUAAACAAUACCAAAUUCUUUAUUCUAAAGUGGUUGUAUCCAAAGUGGGUACAGUGUACACUUUGACCAGUGGCACAUGAGAGUUCCAGUUACCCAGCAUUUUUGCCAGUAAUUGAAAUUGUGAGGUUUUAAUUUAGCCAUCCCAGGUACAGACUGAUAUCUCAUGGUGGUUUUAAUUUUUUAUAAUGAGGUUAAACAUAUUUUCAUAUUUAUUGGCUGUUUGCUUCCCUCUUUGUGAAAGUACCUGUUCAAACCUUGUGCCAACUUUUCUAUUGGGUUGCUUGCCUUUUUCUUGAUAUAUGCACUUCUUUACAUAUUCUGGGUACUAACUGCUCCUCUGUCAGUUAUAUUGCAGACAUUUUCUCCCAGACUGGCUUAUCUUUAUAGUAGCUAUUGAUCAACCCAAGUUCUUAAUUUUAAUCAGUAAUAUUGGCUUAAUGUUAGCUUUAGGUGUUAUGUUUAGUGCUGUUUACAAAUUCAGAAAUAUUUUAAGGAUUAUAAAGCUAUUCUGUAUUUCCUAGAAGCUUUAUGGGUUGCUUUUCAUGUUCUGAUUCUAUUUCACUUAGAAUAUAUUUUUUGGUAUGGUGUGUAUGCAUUGAUUUUUCAGAUUAUGAAUUCAAGCUAUAGCUAAUUUUUUAAUUAAAUAUUUAUGGUAUUUAUAAAGCUUUUUAUAAGACUUUUUGUUGUUUUUCUAUAGAUACAUAUUAUUGAGAAAUAUUUAAUUUUUUAAGGCUCAAGAUGAAAAAUCAUGAACCAGAUGAUACUGUCAAGGAAGACUUAAUUUUCAAUAUCAUAACCAGAAAAAUUAACCACCUCCCAGAAGCAGAAAGGUAAUUUAAUUUAAAUUUAAUUUAAAAAUAUCUUUUACCAGGUGGAUUUUCGUCAUUCGUUCAUUAUCUCACAUUUAUUUGAUUUGAAUAUAAACAUAAAAUGUCAGAAGGAAACUGAGUUCUUUUUCUUGCCUUACUGAGAAAACCCAAGACCAGGAGAGGUUAACUAUUUUGCUUGAAGUUAAGGCUAGAAUUCAUGCCUUUGGACAUAUCUAAUUAUAUGAUAGUGCUCAGUUUUUCCAUUUGGGUAAGAGUAUAGUCAGUUGUGAACAUUUAUAGACUCAUCUAAAUAAUAGACCUUUAAG
rnacentral:lncRNA from 1 species